rnacentral:tRNA from 1 species
UCGUGUAGCUUAGUGGUAGAGCACUUGCCUAGCCUGCCCAAAGACCUGGGUUCAAUCCCCAGCACUGAA